ACAACCAUUCUCGACCAAAGUGC
rnacentral:siRNA from 1 species